CUCGACAGUGAGGCUGUGAUCUGGAGUGUGAGGCGGUGGCGGAGGGAGAGCGGAAAGUUUCUGCUGACUUUUGGCGGCGAGGAGCCCCGCACCACUUCCCGGCGUGGCGUUAAAUAUCAGCUUGAAAUGUGAGGUGGUGCCGGCGGGCUGCUCCGGUAGGAAAACGGCUCCUCUUAUCAGCUUCGCAUCACCUCCGAUUUGACUGGCCGGCCAGGCACGCUGAUGGCCCUGUACUCCGGUGGAAACCUAACCUGACGGUGGAAAUCUCGCCUGCGUUCGUCUCUGAUUGAUGGCCCAGUAUAUGGAAGAUUAAAGCUGUAAGAAUGAUGAACUGCUAGCAGAACAUAAAUACCAUCCUUAUCAAAUUUAUGUUGCCUGAUCUGCUGAGUAUUUCCAACAUUUUCUAUUUUUAUUAAUACAAAAUAACUGUUGCUACAUCACCUGAGUGAAUACUUGCUGUGGUCACCUAUACUUCCACACUUUAAUCUUAUCAAAUUCAUCCUCAUGCAACAAAUAUAAAAGAUUUGUCACCUUCUGAAAAUGGAAAGGCGUGCAUAUGACGUAUCCAGAAGAAACUGAAUCCUGAUUCUUAACAGGAUGUUGUAAAUCAUGAUGCCUGAUGGCUUUACAAUUGUGUGAGAAGAUGGUCUUGAAUGCUUCAGUUUUGACAAUGUUGAUAGUGAAUGAUACCAAGGAGAGGAUUCCCUGUCCCUAUUUGGCUUGCGUUUGAAGUGCGG